GUAAAAUUCAGUAAUUGUAAAAUUUGAUAAGCAAUUCUGAUAAUUUACUAGUAAUCACUUACACAUUUUUUAUUGGUGAAGCCGUAAAUCACCCUAUUGAAUUUUGUCCUUUGAUAUUUAAGCAACAGAUUACCUAUUACUAAAACAUAUACUGUAUCUCCUACAACUUUUUCCCCCCCUCUGGAAGUAUUUGUAAAGAAUGAAUUUAAUUUAAUUUAAUUUUUUUUCAUUUGUUUUUAUUGAAGUUCGAUUUGCCAAAAUAUAGUAUAACAUCCAGUGCUCAUCCCAUCAAGUGCCUCAUCAGUGCCCAUCACCCAGUUACCCCAAGAAUUUAAUUUUAAAUUUAAGAAUGCUUUACUUUGCUUUUUUAUCCAUUAAUAUUUUAGUGAUACAAGUAUGAUAUUGGUAACAAUGUAGAAUUCAUCAGAAAAAUGUUGGGAUUUUUCCCACGGGAAAAACAUGAGAAACAAUUGAAAUGUAAGUAAUUGAAAUGUAAAAAAAAUGGAAAGGAAACCAGUUGAAUUAGUUUAGAACAGCUGCCACUGAACAGAGAACAGAGCAAGCUCCUUCAGAGAGAUUUAGAGCAUUCUUUCAUCUCUUCUUUUUAUUUUUUUAUAUAUUUUUCAACAACAGAUGGAUUAGGACUAGCUGUGUCCCCAUGCAUGAAUGUUUUAUAUAGCUUGAAAUGACUUCAUCAUUUAGCCACGUGAUGAUCAUUCCUUCAUAAGAUGCGUUCAAAAAUACUAUCAGGUAGUCUCCUAGAAACAAUUGAAAAGUUACAAGAUCCUACUUAACUUGAAGAGUCAUCAGGGUGAGUUUCUUGAAAAGUUUUGAUACCUAAGAUUCUGACUUCUGAAAUCACAGAAUUUUAUUUAAAGAUAAUUUUCUAAUGUCAAAAAGUAAGAUGAAGUGACCUACAUAGAGAGCUGUGAUAUUUCAUGUAAGUCCAAUACUUUGGUUAGCAAAAAUAAGAAAUUUUAAUAGACUAGCAAAAUGUUAUAAUCAGCCAUUGAAACAACAUGCUUGAUAGCUUUUAAAUAUUUCCAUGAGUGAAUGAAUGAAUUUUUGGAGAUUUAUGUAGUUGCUAUUUAAAUAAGUUAAAUUU
rnacentral:lncRNA from 1 species